CACGUAGGGCGCAAGCGUUGUCCGGAAUUAUUGGGCGUAAAGAGCUCGUAGGCGGCCUGUCACGUCUGCUGUGAAAAGCUGGGGCUUAACCCUGGCCUUGCAGUGGAUACGGGCAGACUAGAGGUAGGUAGGGGAGAAUGGAAUUCCCGGUGUAGCGGUGAAAUGCGCAGAUAUCAGGAGGAACACCCGUGGCGAAAGCGGCUCUCUGGGACGGUACUGACGCUGAGACGCGAAAGCGUGGGGAGCAAACAGG
rnacentral:rRNA from 1 species